ACGAGUUUUAGAUGACAGAAUAUAUUUCUUGAUUUCAUUGCGAUGUCGAGUUUCAUGACUGAAAGACAUAAAAUAGUUUGGAUUUAAAACAAUAAAGAUUCUCAAAUAAUUUGCACUAAUAGGCGCCUUUCUAUGAGGGCUUAAUAAGUAUUAGGAUAAACCAAAGUGUAAUCCGAAGUGCAACUGGAUUUAUGUUCUGACCAUUUACGACAAUUUGUGGAAUUCCGUCUUUUUAUAACUAAAUAACAGUUUACAGUUCGACCUAACAGGUCGUUAUAAAAUAAACCACGAAUAUGAACUGACACUAAGUAAGACAAAUUUGUCUGGUUAAUAUAAAGCAGCUUUGAUUAUAUCAAUAAACCGGAAGCUGUAUAUAUACUAGUAACCAAAAUGGCCGCUGCUGUCCUUAAGUUACUUUUUAAG
rnacentral:lncRNA from 1 species